UACGGGGGGGGCAAGCGUUGUUCGGAAUUACUGGGCGUAAAGGGCUCGUAGGCGGCCAACUAAGUCAGACGUGAAAUCCCUCGGCUUAACCGGGGAACUGCGUCUGAUACUGGAUGGCUUGAGUUUGGGAGAGGGAUGCGGAAUUCCAGGUGUAGCGGUGAAAUGCGUAGAUAUCUGGAGGAACACCGGUGGCGAAGGCGGCAUUCUGGACCAACACUGACGCUGAGUGAGCGAAAGCCAGGGGAGCAAACGGG
rnacentral:rRNA from 1 species